rnacentral:rRNA from 1 species
AUGGAUGAGAAUAUUCUAGCAAUGGGUUACCCAAGGAGUUCCCGCAAAAUUGUUCAUUGCUUCCAUCACUACAAGAUUGAAAUAUUCAAUGAGGUGCUUGAUAGAAACAUAGCUAAGAUGAAUAACCGGUUCAGUGAAACUUCAACAAGGUUAUUGAUAUGCAUUGCUAGUCUAGAUCCUAGAGACUCAUUUAGUAGAUUUAAUCAUGAGAACCUGCUUGAGCUUGCAUCUAUGUACUUAGUCGACUUCGACCCAGAAGAAUUAUAUCAUUUGGAUGGUCAGCUCAAGAUAUACAUUGAUAUGAUGAAAAGGUAUCAUGUUUUUUGUGAUUGUGACAAUAUUGCUAAACUUGCCCUCAAGUUGGUUGAAACUAAGGAACAUUUACAAUUUCAUUUGGUUUACCGGCUCAUCAAACUUAAUUUGACUUUGCCAGUAGUGACGACAUCUGUUGAAAGAGUUUUCUCAACCAUGAAUAUCAUAAAGAUAAAUUUGAGAAAUAAGACAUCUGAUGAUUGGUUGAAUGAUAUGAAGGUAUGCUAUGUUGAGUGA